rnacentral:rRNA from 1 species
GGGGAAUUUUCCGCAAUGGGCGAAAGCCUGACGGAGCAAUACCGCGUGAGGGAGGAAGGCUCUUGGGUUGUAAACCUCUUUUCUCAGGGAAUAAGUACUGAAGGUACCUGAGGAAUCAGCAUCGGCUAACUCCGUGCCAGCAGCCGCGGUAAUACGGAGGAUGCAAGCGUUAUCCGGAAUGAUUGGGCGUAAAGCGUCCGCAGGUGGUUAUUCAAGUCUGCUGUCAAAGAAUCUGGCUCAACCAGAUAAAGGCAGUGGAAACUGAAAGACUAGAGUAUGGUAGGGGUAGAGGGAAUUCCUGGUGUAGCGGUGAAAUGCGUAGAGAUCAGGAAGAACACCGGUGGCGAAAGCGCUCUGCUGGACCAUAACUGACACUGAGGGACGAAAGCUAGGGGAGCGAAUGGGAUUAGAUACCCCAGUAGUC